UGAUUUAGUAUCUCUUCAAAUGUGGGCUUCAUCUUAUGAAUGCUGCCAAUGUCCUUUCAUAGAAAGCCUUUGUAAAGGCCACCGCUUUGGAGUGCCAUACAGCUGGAUUGCAAUUUUGACAGCCCUAUAAGAGUCUGGAGAGGAAUAAGAUGUAGUCCUCUGUGAAGGACUCCUAAUUUUAAUAGGCAUAGCUCAAAAGGGCUUGCUGCUAAUGUACUGAUAUGGGAGGAGGCAGGAGGAUUACUAUGGUGUAGUGAAGGCUACUGCUUAUUACACUGUCAUACGAUCUGUCAUUAGUUACUUGAUCUCUGAAAUGACAGUAGUCACCUUCAGCAAGACGUUCAGUGCCAGCUAGAGCAGGCCUUGUUUCCGAUCAGAGUCCCUAAGCACUUCCGUAAAUACAAUCUGUUGCCUAGGGAUUAGUCACUCCUCUUGCAGCAGUUGCUUGCAAGGCAGGUAUCAAGAUGGACUGUUUGGGGGCCGGGAUGGGUAUUUGGCAUUGUCUUAGUAUCCUCACUUGCUUGCUAUUAAUGCUUUUCAGCAGCUCUUGAGAAGGAAGAAGUACUAUAUCCUCGCUUAGCCCACUCAAUUGAUUAGUAUUGUGUCAUUGUGCUCUCUUCCCCUACAGUCUGACUGCAGGAGCUGGGUUUCCUCAUGAGAGGUGUAAAGUAGGGCUGGAGAAGUAAAAACUUUGGUAAGGAUAGAUGAGCUGUUGCCGGAUGAAUGGGCCAGACUGGCUUGCAGCCUCCUGGCCAGCAAGGAAUUGGACCAAAACCAGCAGUGACGGAGUAUUGGUUAUCGUGAGCGAGCUGGUUGCUGCACGUCAAUCUCAAAGGUCUUGUUGGGCCACUGCUCCCCAGAGCUGUAAGCCUCGUCCUCCUGCCUUGUUUAAACGUAGAGAAACAUGUGAGAAAUAAUAUGCGAGAAAGAAUGGAAGGUGUGCUUGAAAAUUUACUUUUAGUGGUGAUUUGAUUCGUUCUAAUCUGAACUGGAUUUGAAUCUUUGAAAGAGAUGGGUGAGUCCUUUCCUCUUCAGUAUGAGACCAGUUAUAUUAAACAGAAUUUUGUCGCCCUCUAUGCAAAGGGACCACCAAGGCGUAAUGGAGAAUGUCCAUCAUACUGUCACAUAGCUUGUUCAGGUAUGCAACUAUGCUGAAAAGUGCCUCUUUUUGUUGUGACUAUGUGGAAGAUGAAGACGACUUCACACCUUUACAGCUUGUGUUCACUUCUGGAAAUGUGUCUCUUGGAGUUUGCAGAUUAGUCUUUUUCUAAUAAGCUUAAAACACCAACCUAAAAGGGACACUGAGAUUCAGCAGACCUACUGUAAUGUGCUUUGCUCUGGGAGCUUCAGCCCUGUCAUCUUGGCUCUCUUUUUCUAGUCCUAGCCCAAGACUGCAAGGUGAUCAAAGACAAGGGAGCGUCUACCCAGGCUACUUAGAGUUGGGAUGAAAGUUAAGGCUCUGUUAAACCGCUCUGGCUUGCUUCCCUCUCAGCCAGCCUUUUUCUACAUUUCAGUAAACUUGCUGAGGCACGGCUAUGUCCGUGAAAGACUUUGGUGAAAGCUCUGCAGAGGCAAAUCCCUGUGUCUUCUGGCCAGGUAGAGACAGGAAGGGGGGGACCUGUGAAAGCUUUUGGAGUUUCCUACUGGAGUUUCUGUUCACGUGCCGCUUGGUUGGUUUUGGUGUCUCUUAAUUCGCUUGACGUCACGGUGCGGCUCCGUCUGCGAUUGUGAUGCCACGGAAGCCCCCAUCAGAAUUCACCACUUGCACGACUAGAGGGGGUAGGGUGAUGCUGGGCCUGGAGGGGGUGGGAGGCGGUGCUCUGCCACGACACUGACCUGGGAUUUGGGAGAGUCAGGCCUGCAGUCCGGCUGUGGGUGAAUCACUAAGGGUUCAUCUCAUCCACCUUUGGGCCUGUA
ensembl:lncRNA